UAAUAAGAAGCAAACUUUUGCAUUUAGUUUCGACCUAAACAUUGAUACCUGUAUUAUCCUUAUUUU
rnacentral:tRNA from 1 species